ACCGGCCUAAUCACACACAUAUCAUCUUGUGCAAAGAUCGAUCAACUAGCGAUGGAGUGCUACUACUCUUCGAAGCUAGCCUGGUCCCAGCUGGUCCUCGCCUUGGCCAUGGCAGCCGCCAUCACCUCGCCGUGCGCUGCCCAGAACGCCCCGGCGGACUUCGUGAGCCUCCACAACUCUUUGCGUGCGCUUGUCGAAGUCGGGCCGGUGACAUGGGACACCACGGUGGCGAAUUACGCGCUGAACUAUGCGAACCAGCGCAAAGCCGACUGCAACCUGGUGCACUCCGGCGGGACGUACGGGGAGAACAUCUUCUGGGGCUCCGCCGGCGGCACCUGGACGGCGUCGAGCGCCGUCACCAUGUGGACCGACGAGAAGCAGUUCUACGACUACGCCACCAACACCUGCGCGACCAACAAGGUGUGCGGCCACUACACGCAGGUGGUGUGGAGGUCCUCCACGUCCAUCGGCUGCGCCCGCGUCGUCUGCGACAGCAACCGCGGCGUCUUCAUCAUCUGCAACUACAGCCCGCGGGGCAACAUCGCCGGACAGAAACCCUACUAG
rnacentral:rRNA from 1 species